rnacentral:piRNA from 1 species
GAACACUGGAUUAACAGAACGUUCAGGGCAUA